rnacentral:rRNA from 1 species
CCUACGGGUGGCUGCAGUGGGGAAUAUUGGGCAAUGGGCGCAAGCCUGACCCAGCAACGCCGCGUGAAGGAAGAAGGCUUUCGGGUUGUAAACUUCUUUUCUGCGGGACGAAGAAAGUGACGGUACCUCAGGACUAAGCCACGGCUAACUACGUGCCAGCAGCCGCUGUAAUACGUAGGUGGCAAGCGUUAUCCGGAUUUAUUGGGUGUAAAGGGCGUGUAGGCGGGAAAGGAAGUCAGAUGUGAAAACUCAGGGCUCAACCCUGAGCCUGCAUUUGAAACUGGUUUUCUUGAGUGCUGGAGAGGCAAGCGGAAUUCCGGGUGUAGCGGUGAAAUGCGUAGAUAGAAGGAGGAACCCCAGUGGCGAAGGCGGAUUGCUGGACAGUAACUGACGCUGAGGCGCGAAAGCGUGGGGAGCAAACAGGAUUAGAUACCCCAGUAGUC